UGCAGUCGAGCGCAGGAGCAGGCUGAUCCCUUCGGGGUGACGCCUGUGGAAUGAGCGGCGGACGGGUGAGUAACACGUGGGCAACCUGCCUUACAGACUGGGAUAACUCCGGGAAACCGGGGCUAAUACCGGAUGACCAGAAGAACUGCAUGGUUCUUCUGUAAAAGUUGGGACUUGUUCCUAACACUGUGAGAUGGGCCCGCGGCGCAUUAGCUAGUUGGUGAGGUAACGGCUCACCAAGGCGACGAUGCGUAGCCGACCUGAGAGGGUGAUCGGCCACACUGGAACUGAGACACGGUCCAGACUCCUACGGGAGGCAGCAGUAGGGAAUCAUCCGCAAUGGGCGAAAGCCUGACGGUGCAACGCCGCGUGAACGAUGAAGGUCUUCGGAUUGUAAAGUUCUGUUGUCAGGGAAGAACACGUGCCGUUCGAACAGGGCGGCACCUUGACGGUACCUGACCAGAAAGCCCCGGCUAACUACGUGCCAGCAGCCGCGGUAAUACGUAGGGGGCAAGCGUUGUCCGGAAUUAUUGGGCGUAAAGCGCGCGCAGGCGGUCUCUUAAGUCUGAUGUGAAAGCCCACGGCUCAACCGUGGAGGGUCAUUGGAAACUGGGGGACUUGAGU
rnacentral:rRNA from 1 species